GGAUCAUGCUAUGCUUUCACUGUGAAAGUGUAAGAAAAAGCAGAUAGGAUGCUUGUGCAGUAAAACUGUCACUUCCUUUUGAACAGAAGCUGUUCAUCAGUUCUUGUGAAAAAAGAACAAGAUUUCUUUUCUUCUUACUCCAAGAGAUUUGGUCGGUCUCAAAAGUCAUUUACAGGAGCUAGAACGGUGCCUUCCUCUGUGUGGGCUGCCAGAACACACAGCCCCGGAUGCCAAGGAUAAAGCUUGGUCUCCUCCACACGUUGAUUCCCAGACCAGCUGGCACAGAAACUCAGUGCCUAUGGCACCUUUCUGAAAGGCAGUUGCCAAGAAGCUUGACUGGAAGACCAGUGAGCUCAAUGAAGAUCUUUGCGUUGUCUUCACUGGGCUCUGGGUCAAGUCCCCAGGCUGGGAAGCGCGGAGCCAGGCUGCGUGCGGUCCCAGCGAGCACACGGCAGGUGCUGCAGCACAGCCUGCGGCCAGGCUGCUGGCAGGGGGCUGGGGCAGCGGGCACGGGGUGGGCAUCGAACACGGACAGGGUCCUUCACUGACAUUUCAGUAUGGAGCAUCUGGCUGCGCAGAGAUGCUGGUAAAGUAAUUAAUGGGAAAGGAAAAAAAAAAAUCACAAAAAUCUCCAAGUCUGAAUUCUUGAAGUGGGGCUCUUAGUGGAUUUGCAGCACUGAUGCAUUCUUCUUAGACUGCCAUUGACAGUGUGUUCGGUUCCCAUCUGACAUCUGGCCACAUGAUAUCCAUUGUGGUAUGAAACCAGCAGAUAACACUGGCAGACAGCAAAGUCCUGUUGGAGUCUCUGGGUACGCCAGCGCAGCUCACUGCACUGGUAGGCACUCUGCAGUCCACAGGGACAGCCCCCAUUUCUGGGAAGAGCAGCCACCCUGACAUUGCUGAAGAAUGCAGUA